rnacentral:tRNA from 1 species
UCGAUAAUAGUUUAUAAAAAUAGUAGCCUGUGAUGCUGAAGAUUAAGGUUAGACCCUUAUGUCGAC